rnacentral:rRNA from 1 species
UAAAGGUAUUCCGGUAGACGACGGGGAUGCGUUCCAUUAGAUAGUAGGCGGGGUAACGGCCCACCUAGUCUUCGAUGGAUAGGGGUUCUGAGAGGAAGGUCCCCCACAUUGGAACUGAGACACGGUCCAAACUCCUACGGGAGGCAGCAGUGAGGAAUAUUGGUCAAUGGGCGAGAGCCUGAACCAGCCAAGUAGCGUGAAGGAUGACUGCCCUAUGGGUUGUAAACUUCUUUUAUAAAGGAAUAAAGUCGGGUAUGCAUACCCGUUUGCAUGUACUUUAUGAAUAAGGAUCGGCUAACUCCGUGCCAGCAGCCGCGGUAAUACGGAGGAUCCGAGCGUUAUCCGGAUUUAUUGGGUUUAAAGGGAGCGUAGAUGGAUGUUUAAGUCAGUUGUGAAAGUUUGCGGCUCAACCGUAAAAUUGCAGUUGAUACUGGAUAUCUUGAGUGCAGUUGAGGCAGGCGGAAUUCGUGGUGUAGCGGUGAAAUGCUUAGAUAUCACGAGGAACUCCGAUUGCGAAGGCAGCCUGCUAAGCUGCAACUGACAUUGAGGCUCGAAAGUGUGGGUAUCAAACAGGAUUAGAUACCCUGGUAGUCCACACGGUAAACGAUGAAUACUCGCUGUUUGCGAUAUACGGCAA